rnacentral:rRNA from 1 species
GGGAGGCAGCAGUGGGGAAUAUUGCACAAUGGGCGCAAGCCUGAUGCAGCCAUGCCGCGUGUGUGAAGAAGGCCUUCGGGUUGUAAAGCACUUUCAGCGGGGAGGAAGGCGUUAAGGUUAAUAACCUCAUCGAUUGACGUUACCCGCAGCAGAAGCACCGGCUAACUCCGUGCCAGCAGCCGCGGUACUACGGAGGGUGCAAGCGUUAAUCGGAAUUACUGGGCGUAAAGCGCACGCAGGC